GAUGAAGAACGCAGCGAAAUGCGAUAAGUAAUGUGAAUUGCAGAAUUCAGUGAAUCAUCGAAUCUUUGAACGCACAUUGCGCCCGUCAGUAUUCUGGCGGGCAUGCCUGUUCGAGCGUCAUUACGCCCCUCAAGUCCCCUGUGGACUUGGUGUUGGGGAUCGGCGAGGCUGGUUUUCCAGCACAGCCGUCCCUUAAAUUAAUUGGCGGUCUCGCCGUGGCCCUCCUCUGCGCAGUAGUAAAACACUCGCAACAGGAGCCCGGCGCGGUCCACUGCCGUAAAACCCCCCAACUUUUUAUAGUUGACCUCGAAUCAGGUAGGACUACCCGCUGAACUUAAGCAUGUCAAUAAGCGGAGGA
rnacentral:misc_RNA from 1 species